GACGAACGCUGGCGGCGUGCUUAACGCAUGCAAGUCGAACGGAAAGGCCCUGCUUUUGUGGGGUGCUCGAGUGGCGAACGGGUGAGUAACACGUGAGUAACCUGCCCUUGACUUUGGGAUAACUUCAGGAAACUGGGGCUAAUACCGGAUAGGAGCUCCUGCUGCAUGGUGGGGGUUGGAAAGUUUCGGCGGUUGGGGAUGGACUCGCGGCUUAUCAGCUUGUUGGUGGGGUAGUGGCUUACCAAGGCUUUGAUGGGUAGCCGGCCUGAGAGGGUGACCGGCCACAUUGGGACUGAUAUACGGCCCAGACUCCUACGGGAGGCAGCAGUGGGGAAUAUUGCACCAUGGGCGGAAGCCUGAUGCAGCAACGCCGCGUGCGGGAUGACGGCCUUCGGGUUGUAAACCGCUUUCGCCUGUGACGAAGCGUGAGUGACGGUAAUGGGUAAAGAAGCACCGGCUAACUACGUG
rnacentral:rRNA from 1 species